UACGUAGGGUGCAAGCGUUAAUCGGAAUUACUGGGCGUAAAGCGUGCGCAGGCGGUUUUGUAAGUCUGACGUGAAAUCCCCGGGCUCAACCUGGGAACUGCAUCUGUGACUGUGUAGCUAGAGUACGGUAGGAGGGGGAUGGAAUUCCGCGUGUAGCAGUGAAAUGCGUAGAUAUGCGGAGGAACACCGAUGGCGAAGGCAAUCCCCUGGACCUGUACUGACGCUCAUGCACGAAAGCGUGGGGAGCAAACAGG
rnacentral:rRNA from 1 species